rnacentral:misc_RNA from 1 species
UCCGGUUUGUCACCGGCAGUCUCCCUAGAGUGCCCUUGCGUAGCAACUAGGGACAAGGGUUGCGCUCGUUGCGGGACUUAACCCAACAUCUCACGACACGAGCUGACGACAGCCAUGCAGCACCUCGACUCAAGUCUCUUGCGAGAAGUCUCUGUUUCCAAAGAUGUUCUUAAGCCGUUCGAGCCCAGGUAAGGUUCUUCGCGUUGCGUCGAAUUAAACCACAUCAUCCACCGCUUGUGCGGGCCCCCGUCAAUUCCUUUGGGUUUCAGUCUUGCGACCGUACUCCCCAGGCGGAGUGCUUAAUGUGUUGACUUCGGCACAGCAGGGGUCGAUACCCGCUACACCAAGCACUCAUCGUUUACGGCGUGGACUAC